GCCGGAUCUGUGAACAUAAAGGUGCUCCUGAGUUUGUGAGACCUGAAAACCUGGUGGAUUUCUUGGCACAGAAGAGUAGAUCAUACCUCUGCUCUCAGGUAUGUAGGCACUCCUGGUGACUGGAUUUUAGCUCUCCGCCCAGGCAGAAACUGGAAGGGUUCUGCCCCUGACUGCUCCUAGGUCCCUUUGCUCAGGGAGCAUAGAUGGUACUAGGCAAUUUCCUCUUGGUUCAAGAAUGUGGGCAGAGAGUAUAUCCAAAUUACAAAAUCAGGAAUGAAAAGGGAGACCUGACAAAAGAAUCUGAGGAAAUUAAAAAAACUCAUCAGAUUCUACUACAAAAACCUAUAUUCAACAAAACUGGAAAAUGUGGAGGAAAUGGACAAUUUUUCUAGACAGAUACAAGGCACCACAGUUAAAUCCAGAACAAAUAAACCAUCUAAACAACCCCAUAACUCCUAAAGAAAAAGAAGCAGUUAUUAAAAGUCUCCCAUCCAAAAAGACCCACGACCAGAUGGGUUUAGUGCAGAAUUCUAUCAGACCUUCAUAGAAGACCUCAUACCAAUAGUGUCCAAACUAUUCCACAAAUUCGAAACAGAGGGAGCACUAUCAAAUUCCUUCUACAAAGCCAUAAUUACUCUUUUAUCUAAACCACACAAAGAUACAACAAAGAUAGAGAACUUAAGACCAAUUUCCUUUAUGUAUAUUGAUGCAAAGAUACUCAAUAAAAUUCUUGCAAACCGAAUCAAAGAACAUGUCAAGAGGAUCAUCCAUCAAGAUCAAGUAGGCUUCAUCACAGGGAUGCAGGGAUAGUUUUAUAUACAGAAAUCCAUCAACGAAAUCCACCAUAUAAACAAACUCAAAGGAAAAACCACAUGAUUAUUCUAUUAGAUGGUGAGAAAUCGUUUGACAAAAUUCAAAACCCUUUCAUGAAUAAAGUCCUGGAAAGAUCAAGAAUUCAAGCCCAUAUCUAAACAUAGUAAAAGCAAAUUAUGGCAAACCAGUACCUAACAUCAAACUAAAUUGGGAGAAACUUGAAGCAAUUCCACUAAAAUCCAGGACUAGACAAGGCUGCCUACUGUCUCCCUACUUAUUCAAUACAGUACUUGAAGUCCUAACCAGAGAGCAAUCAGAAAAUGAAAGGAGGUCAAAGGGAUACAAAUUGGAUGGGAAGAAGUCAAAAUACUAAUAUUUGAACAUGAUAUGGUAGUAUACUUAAGUGACCCCAAGAGUUCCACCAGAGAACUACUUAACAUGAUCAACAACUUCAGCAAAGUGUCAGGGUAUAAAAUUAACUCAAACAAUUCAGUAGCCUUCCUCUACUCAAAGGAUAAACAGGCUGAGAAAGAAAUUAGGGAAAUGACACCCUUCACAAUAGUCCCAAAUAAUGUAAAAUAUCUUGCUAUUACUUUAACCAAGAAAAUGAAAGAUCUGUAUGAUGAGAACUUAAAGUUUCUGAAGAAAGAAAUUGAAAAAGAUCUCUGAAGAUGGAAAGAUCUCCCAUGCUCAUGGAUUGGCAGGAUGAAUAUGGUAAAAAUGGCCAUUUUGCCUAAAGCAAUCUACAGAUUCAGUGUCAUCCCCAUCAAAAUUCCUAUGCAAUUCUUUAAAGAGGUAGAAAGAGCAAUUUGCAGGUUCAUUCGGAAUAACAUAAAACCCACGAUAGCAAAAACUAUACUCAACAAUAAAAGAACUUCUGGGGGAAUCACCAUCCCUGCCUUCAAGCAGUAUUACAGAGCAAUAGUUUGUAUGGUAUUGGCACAAAGGCAGGCAGAUCAGUGGAACAGAAUUGAAGACCCAGAAAUGAACCCACACACCUAUGGUCAUUUGAUCUUUGACAAAGUAGCUAAAACCAUCCAAUGGAAGAAAGAUAGAAUUUUCAACAAAUGGUGCUGGUUCGACUGGAGGUCAGCAUGUAGAAGAAUGCAAGUUGACCCAUUCUUAUCACCCUGUACAAAGCUUAAGUCCAAGUGGAUCAAGGGCCUCCACAUCAAACCAGAUACACUCAAACUAAUAGGAAAAAAAGUGGGGGAAGAGUCUCGAACACAUGGACACUGGAGAAAAUUUCCUGAACAAAAGACCAAUGGCUUAUGCUUUAAGAUCAAGAAUCGACAAAUGGGACCUCAUAAAACUGCAAAGCUUCUGUAAGGCAAAGGACACUGUCAUAAGGACAAAAUGGCAACCAACAGAUUGGGAAAAAAAUCUUCACCAAUCCUGCAUCUUAUAGAAGGCUAAUAUCCAAAAUAUACACAGAACACAAGAAGUCAGACUCUAGAGAGCCAAAUAACCCUAUUAAAAAAUAGAGUACAUAGCUAAACGAAACAUUCUCAGCUGAGGAAUAUCGAAUGGCUGAUAAGCACCUAAAGAAAUGUUCCACAUCCUUAGUAAUCAAGGAAAUGCAAAUCAUAACAACCCUGUGGUUCUACCUCACACCAGUCAGAAUGGCUAAGAUCAAAAACUCAGGUAACAACAGAUGCUGGCGAGGAUGUGGAGAAAGAGGAACACUCCUCCAUUGUUGCUGGCAUUGCAAACUGGUACAACCACUCUGGAAAUCAGUCUGGAGGUUCCUCAAAAAAUUGGACACUCUUCUACCUGAGCACCCAGCUAUACCUCUCCUGGGCAUGUACCCAUAAGAUGCUCCAACAUACAAUAAAGACACAUACUCUGCUCUAUUCAUAGCAGCCUUAUUUAUAAUAGUCAGAAGCUGGAAAGAACCCAGAUGCCCUUCAACAGAUGAAUAGAUUUGAAAAAUGUUGUAUGUCUACACAAUGGAGUACUACUCAGCUAUGAAAAACAAUGACUACAUGAAAUUCAUAGGCAAAUGGAAAGAACUAGAAAAUAUCAUCUUCAGUGAGGUAACCCAAUCACAGAAUAACACACAUGGUAUGCACUCAUUGAUAAGUGGAUAUUAGCCCAAAACCUCGAAUUACCCAAGAUGCAAUCUACAGACAUCAGGAAGCUCAAGAAGAAGGAUGACCAAAAUGUGGAUGCUUCUACUCCUUAAAAGGGGGAACAAAAAUAUCCAUAGGAGGGGAUAUGGAGGCCAAGUUUAAAACAGAGACUAAAGGAACGACCGUUCAGAGCCUGCUCAGCACAUGCCCCCCCCAUAUAUGUGUGUGUGUGUGUGUGUGUGUGUUUGUGUGUGUGUGUGUGUGUGUGUGUGUGUGUGUGUGUGUGUAAGUAUGUAUAUCCACCAAAACUAGAUAAGAUUGAUGAAGCUAAAAAGUGCUUGCUGGAAGGGUCCAGAUAUAGAUCUCUCCUGAGAGAUACAUCAGGGUAUGUCAAAUAAAGAGGUCAGUGCUAGCAGCAAACCACUGAACUGAGAACAGGACCCCACUUGUGGAAAUUAGAGGAAGGAUUGAGAGAGCUGAAGGUGCUUGCAAUUCCAUAAGAACAACAAUGCCAACCAACUAAACCAAUAGCAAAAGACUAUACAUGGACUGACCCAGGGCUCCACCUGCAUAUGUAGGAGAGAAUAGCCUUCUUGGGGCACCAGUGGAAGGGAAGCCCUUGGUGCUGACAAGGUUGGACCCUCAGUGCAGGGGAAUGUCGGGGAGUUGUAAGGGGAGUGGUUUGGGAGACUGUCCAUAUCGGGGAGGGAGACAGGAUGGGGGCUUAUGGACUGGAAACCAGGUAAGAGAAUAAUAUUUGAAAUGUAAAUAAAGAAAUAUAUCUAUGAAAAAAACUAAAAUUAAAAAAACAAGAUAAAAAUUACUAAGAAGCAAUCAAAAAAAGAAAAUGUGAACAAAAAAAGAAAUUUUAGGAUUUGGAGAAAGAUGAAUGCCAGGUAUAUUAUAUAAUAUAACUAUAUUACCACGAUCCACACUUUAAUAUACUUGAGAACAACUGCAUCUGUUUUUGUUUUGUUUGUUUGUUUUUUAAAUAGUUAAUGGAAAUACAGUCCCUUCCUGUCUGUGAGACUAGGGAUCCAGAUGUAGUGGAAUUCAUUAUUUGUUGAGUCCCGAACCUUUGAGCCUGCUUCUAGCACAGCUUAAGGCAAGGAAACAGAGCAAGGUAAUAUCUAAGCCAUUGACCAAACGAUCUGGAGUAACAAUUACAGGUGAAAUUCUUCUUUGUAAAUGAGAGGAGAGCUAUAAAGGAUACCUUUUAGAUUUAAAACAAAUGAAAUGUACCCACCAAAAAUCCAAUAAAAAAGUUAAAAUUAAAAAAAAAAAACUAGGAAAUACAAAAGAUUCGGGUGCAAUUCCACAAUCAUGAUGUGUUUCUUCUGUGAUAGCAUACAGGUUAACUUACUUCUCUAUGACUGUUUUCUUAUUUGAAAGUAAGUAAUGGGGUCAUCUAUGGAGUGGUUGGUAAGAACAAAAGCUUUGCCUAACUUGAAUAAUAGGUCCCUCCAGAGCAUGUGCUUAACAGUCUAGGUACAGAGAAAUUUGCUGAGGGGACUAAAAACAAAACCAAACAUAAAACAGGAACAACAAUGAUUUAACAAAAUUCUGCAUGCUGGAAUUGAAGGCAUGUUGCAACUUUAAUCAGGUUUGUAGGUAUUUCUAAUAAACAAACAAAGAAAUAAAAAUCGUAUUACACUUCUAGCAGUUGCAUCCAAGAGAGAGAGAGCUGUGAGGUAGUGUGUGCUGCUACUUUCCACAGAUACACCUGGGCCUCAGGCCUGCCCUCAGUGAGCUGGACCUAAAAGCAGCCUAGUUGAAAUUCCUGCUGCCAUGGCAGGAUUCUGCAAGAACAUUUUCCUUUGACAACAAGGGGCCUUUGUGGAGGAGACUUCUUGGUGGGUUCUCAAGGACUCUGCAUGUCUUAUUCUACAAAGAGAAGCCAAGCCAGGACUUUUAGCAAGGCCAGCCAGUUGUUUGGGGAAGUCUCUGGUCCUGUGGCAGAGGGUGAGGAAUGGUUGAAAAAAUGUCGGCUCUGCUGAGAGCAAAGGAUAACCUUCUAGAACUAUGACCUCCUAAUUCAGGACAUUCCACUCCCUGCCCAUCCUCCUGAUUCUUAUGUUUGCUACGAGUAAAAGAUCCUGGUGCAGCCCCAAUAUACUCAUGCCUAGACUUGGAAAUUCAGGAAGAAUGAUAUUUGAGAAGUAAUGGCUAUGUGGUUACAAUGUAGUAACACAGGGUCCAGGUUGACGUUUGCUUACUGAUGUCCCAUUUAAUUGUCUUUUUAUAUUUGAGAAAGGGAGGAUGUCCAACUUAAUAUAUAAAAGAGACAUAAAGUUAUAAUUUUAUAUAUGCCCUGUAGUUGAUCCCUACGAUCCCAAGAAAAGGGAGUGAUUAUUUCAAAAAGUAGGAUUAUAGACCAUUGAUUUUGUGAAAUACAUAGAUGUGUAUAUGGAAACAAUGCCAGCUGUCUAGGACUGCACAUUAAGCAAAUAUUACCAGGUUUUAUAUAGUCAAAUGUAUAGGAGAAAGCUAUUGGCCUCUAGAAAACAGGGAAAACCUUGGGAUUCAAAAUUUAUGUCACAUGCGUUGUCUCAGGUGGUAGAUUUAUUUUUAAGAAAAAUCUCCCUUAUCCAUGCUCCCUAGAGAUUUGGGUGCUAACAAAAAUCUCUUAUCAAUUCAGGGUUGUAACCAACUCUUCCCAUUAAAAGAAUUGAUGACUUCCAAUGAAGCAGAGAGAAAUAUCUAGCUUUGGAGUAGAGGUUGUCAAAGGGUUUUCCCUGAGUCACAUGAGAGACUGCAGGGAAAGGCCCCUACGGAAACUGAUCAAUUUGCGGAGAGCUAGUUAGCAGGUUUCGGUAGGAAGGCAUCAUCCUGAAAUGAUAUCAGUAAGCAAGAGAAGCGUCUAAAGAAAUUGGAAGAACUAAAAUUUGAAACCCAGAAGUGUAAAUUCCAGAGGGAUGUACUUUCUCAAAUCCUGGACCUUUAUAUCUAUGAAGAUUGGGACUAUAGGCUGGAUGUUGAAUUGCCUAUACUUCAAUCUGAACGUGGGAUGAGAAUGAUGGCUGUGCAUUAAAUGAACAACUCAAUAUGUGACGCCAUGGAGAAGUACAAGGAGCUCAUACAAGAGAACAAUUCCUACACAUCAGGCACUUCCAGCUCCUGCGUGAACGGACUCCAUAGAAGAACAAUAUAAAGAUUUUGCUGAAUGAGAACAAAAAACUGAUGGUGGAGCAGACUGUUCUGCCAGCAUUCUGUGUGGAGGCAAAGAGGUUCUGUGAAGAGGCCGGAAUGAACAUCUGUGUCCCCAGAGCCAAGCAGUUGCAGGUCCAGCAAGUAUCUGCAUAGCAAGAUUUCCUGAAGUGGAAAUGAGUACAGGCCAGGGCAGCACAGCCUGCUUGACUGUAAGAGACUUGUACAUAACAUAGCUCCCACUAAUUCUUCAUUCAACAGAAAACCUGCUGGAUAAAAGCCUUGGGCACGAAGUCAUUCAAGUUAAGGUAAAGAGAGCUGCUAUUAGAAGAAGCUGCACACUUUGGGGGCAAGCCUGAAACAGUGGCCAAGAACAGAGUCUAAUCCACCACCAACAUAUGAUCCUUUGCUGGGAAACAAGCCUGAUCUACACAGCCUUGGGAACGAGCUAAGCCAGAUUGGGGAAUAAGGCAAGAACCAUGAUUCUAUGUUGGUUUAUGGGAGGACAGCACAACACUGACUGAGUUGUUUAUAGGCUAUAGGCUAUGCCUGCUAUGUACAUAUCCCACUCAACAUUUGUUUUUAUGCCUUCAGAGAAUCCUGGGGGGUCUUUAUAUUAAGGAUUACCUCAGAAAGUAAACACUUGACUGCAAUGUACUAUGCUUAUAUUGUGUGAACACACAUGUGUUGUGUGUUUGGGAGUGUGUAUUAGUGUUUCUGUGUGUCUGUGUGUGUUUGUAUGUGCACACAGGUAUGCAUGCCUCCACUGACAUUACACUCAUCUAAUGACCAGAAUAAGGAAGGAUUAGAGGAAACAAUGCAGGACACUCUGAAGCAGAGAGAACUGAUCACCCAGGAAAGUGACUUGGGAGAAACAGUGUAGAAGAAUUGUGACAUCUUUGAGAUCAGGUCUAAAAUUCUCCAGCGAAACUCGAACAUGGCAUAGACCAGAACAAGAUCUCCCUUGGAGAGCAGUGCCACAGGAGGAGUCUAAGUGUGCACAACAAAUACACCACUAUUACAUCGCAUCCUUAAUAUCCAUAGCAGUUGUGGGCUGCAUUUUCCUACUUUAGUUUGAUUUCUUUGGAUUGAAUAGGCCAUACUUUCAUCUCGGCUCUCCCGAGCAAGCGUGCACAUUUGGAAGGACUCAGAGAAGAGCUGAUGCACAUCAAUCGAGAACUGCUGAGCAUCCAGGAAGAGUGUGCACAUGUACAUUUGUACUUGUCCUGAAGGGUCACCCAGAAGAGUUUCAUGGAGAUCAGUCCACAACAUUGGAAAAACUUUGAGUCAAAGACUGUCAUAUGUUUUAUACUCAGUAUUGGAUGGCUUUGUCCUUCAUACCCUCACUCCAACAAGGCAGACCUACUUACAUUCCCCUUGAAAAGAUUAUUACCAUCAGUAACUGCUUGUCUACUGUGUUUCCAAGGCAAGUCAUUGGCUAUAAGUCAAUUCUGCAAACGAGCAUCAAAAGAAUGCUUAGGACAAUUCCUCUGUUUACAUUUUGGUUUGACUUUUGAUUACUUUGGUUAUUUGGUUUUCCUUAUAUUCAUUUGAAGUUUUGCUAUUUAUUCAUUGUUGUUUUGUUCAUUCAUUUGAUUUGCUAUUUUGAUAAGGAUACAAACUGUAUAUAUUGACUACCUGCAUCUGGAUACUAUUGAUGUAUUCUGGUGAAUAAAAGAGUGAUCUCAAACUCUCAA